AUGAAUGUCAUUAGCUGGAACUGCCGGGGGCUUGGGAACCCCGAGGCAGUUCGCGAGCUUCGCAGUGUUGUGAAGCAGGAAGGUCCUGUUCCCCUCUUUGUCACUGAGACGAAGAUUGGAGGGAAACGUGUUGAGAGUCUGAAACAAACCUUGGGUUUUGUUGGAAGCUUUGCGGUGGACAGUGCUGGCCUAAGCGGAGGGAUAGGCUUGUUCUGGUCUAAGGAUGUUUUAGUUGAGCUAAAGAACUAUAGUUCCGACCACAUUGAUGUUGUGGUGCGGAAGGAUUCCCCGAAUUCGGUGGAGUGGCGAUUUACCGGAUUUUAUGGUGCACCAAGUGCAUAG
rnacentral:rRNA from 1 species